AAUGAACGCUGGCGGCAUGCCUAACACAUGCAAGUCGAACGACAUCUUCGGGUCUAGUGGCGCACGGGUGCGUAACGCGUGGGAAUCUGCCCUUUGGUUCGGAAUAACAGUUGGAAACGACUGCUAAUACCGGAUGAUGACGAAAGUCCAAAGAUUUAUCGCCAGAGGAUGAGCCCGCGUAGGAUUAGCUAGUUGGUGUGGUAAAGGCGCACCAAGGCGACGAUCCUUAGCUGGUCUGAGAGGAUGAUCAGCCACACUGGGACUGAGACACGGCCCAGACUCCUACGGGAGGCAGCAGUGGGGAAUAUUGGACAAUGGGCGAAAGCCUGAUCCAGCAAUGCCGCGUGAGUGAUGAAGGCCUUAGGGUUGUAAAGCUCUUUUACCCGGGAUGAUAAUGACAGUACCGGGAGAAUAAGCUCCGGCUAACUCCGUGCCAGCAGCCGCGGUAA
rnacentral:rRNA from 1 species